rnacentral:miRNA from 1 species
AACUGUUUUGGGACUACAACUCCCAUCAUCCCUAGCUAACAGGACCAGUGGUCAGGGGUGAUGGGAAUUGUAGUCCCAAAACAGCU